CCCCUUCUCUCUGUGGCUCUAAUCAAACUAUUGUCUCAGUCACAGGAGACUGCUACUUGAUGACUCCAGAGGUGUAGCGGAGGCUCUAAACGAGACACUGUGUGUUCAAGACAAGUUUACUGGACUAACUGUCCAAGGCAAAUAUUACGAUAUAAUUGAUCCAUAUGGAGAAGGUACAAAAUGGGUGGAGAAGAGAUCUAUUCACCACUCACUCCUCUUGGUCUUUGCUCAACAGGAUGAUGGUAAGACGAUGAGUUUUGGUGCAGCAUCAUUCUCUGGAAUUGAUUCAUCCUACAGAUGAGUUUUGGUUGAGAUGAUUUCAGGAACUGGAUGAUGGGAAACGUUCCCCUGCGGCUAGCUCAUCUUUAUGAGGUAUUAAUAAUUAAUAUCCCAGUUCUGUCUGUGAGUUAGGUAGUCGAAUAAGGCAUUUGAUGGAGCUUUACCCUAUGGAGAUUAGGACAGUGUUGAUCCGCUUGGAGCAUGAGCAUCCACCUUCUCACUCCCACAUACACAAAUUUGCUGCCUGAGGCCCAAGCAAAGCUUAAAUAGGGAGUAAGUUCCAAAAGUCUCUUAUCUCCUUCCUCUUGUGUUUUCAUUAUGAGACGCUUGCUAAGUUAAUAAAAUGUGAGUUUGAAUACCAUUAGGCUUAUCAAUAAAGAUCAAUCAAUUUUUUUAUUCAUGAAUGAUGGAACUGAUUAUGAUUUAACA